rnacentral:rRNA from 1 species
AACGAACGCUGGCGGCGUGGAUAAGACAUGCAAGUCGAACGAGAGAAUUGCUAGCUUGCUAAUAAUUCUCUAGUGGCGCACGGGUGAGUAACACGUGAGUAACCUGCCCCCGAGAGCGGGAUAGCCCUGGGAAACUGGGAUUAAUACCGCAUAGUAUCGAAAGAUUAAAGCAGCAAUGCGCUUGGGGAUGGGCUCGCGGCCUAUUAGUUAGUUGGUGAGGUAACGGCUCACCAAGGCGAUGACGGGUAGCCGGUCUGAGAGGAUGUCCGGCCACACUGGAACUGAGACACGGUCCAGACACCUACGGGUGGCAGCAGUCGAGAAUCAUUCACAAUGGGGGAAACCCUGAUGGUGCGACGCCGCGUGGGGGAAUGAAGGUCUUCGGAUUGUAAACCCCUGUCAUGUGGGAGCAAAUUAAAAAGAUAGUACCACAAGAGGAAGAGACGGCUAACUCUGUGCCAGCAGCCGCGGUAAUACAGAGGUCUCAAGCGUUGUUCGGAAUCACUGGGCGUAAAGCGUGCGUAGGCUGUUUCGUAAGUCGUGUGUGAAAGGCGCGGGCUCAACCCGCGGACGGCACAUGAUACUGCGAGACUAGAGUAAUGGAGGGGGAACCGGAAUUCUCGGUGUAGCAGUGAAAUGCGUAGAUAUCGAGAGGAACACUCGUGGCGAAGGCGGGUUCCUGGACAUUAACUGACGCUGAGGCACGAAGGCCAGGGGAGCGAAAGGGAUUAGAUACCCCUGUAGUCCUGGCAGUAAACGGUGCACGCUUGGUGUGCGGGGAAUCGACCCCCCGCGUGCCGGAGCUAACGCGUUAAGCGUGCCGCCUGGGGAGUACGGUCGCAAGAUUAAAACUCAAAGAAAUAGACGGGGACCCGCACAAGCGGUGGAGUAUGUGGCUUAAUUCGAUGCAACGCGAAGAACCUUACCUGGGCUUGACAUGUAAUGAACAACAUGUGAAAGCAUGCGACUCUUCGGAGGCGUUACACAGGUGCUGCAUGGCCGUCGUCAGCUCGUGUCGUGAGAUGUUUGGUUAAGUCCAGCAACGAGCGCAACCCCUGUUGCCAGUUACCAGCACGUGAAGGUGGGGACUCUGGCGAGACUGCCCAGAUCAACUGGGAGGAAGGUGGGGAGGACGUCAGGUCAGUAUGGCCCUUAUGCCCAGGGCUGCACACGUACUACAAUGCCCAGUACAGAGGGGGCGGAAGCCGCGAGGCGGAGGAAAUCCUAAAAACUGGGCCCAGUUCGGACUGUAGGCUGCAACCCGCCUACACGAAGCCGGAAUCGCUAGUAAUGGCGCAUCAGCUACGGCGCCGUGAAUACGUUCCCGGGUCUUGCACU